rnacentral:rRNA from 1 species
GGUUAAGCGAAUAAGCGUACACGGUGGAUGCCUAGGCAAUCAGAGGCGAUGAAGGACGUGCUAAUCUGCGAUAAGCGUCGGUAAGGUGAUAUGAACCGUUAUA